GUAAGAUACAGAAACAGUCCACUGAAAAGACUUGGUGUACUAAGGGUACCUAGAGAAAUAUCUAAUUAUUCAACUGACAAAAAAGAAAGUGUGGAAUAUUGGUUACUUUAUGCACUCACAGCUUUCCAUAAUUAAAGGAGCCUGGCGAGAAAUUGUCGAGGUGUUGCAACUAACUUCUAGGGAGAAGACAGCACAGCAUCUUUCAAAUUUUGGUUGUUCCUGGAAUUGUACCAUGUAGUUCAUUAUGAUGACGACAGCCUGCAUGUGUUUUUCCUCAAUCCUCGAGGGACGUUCAAGAAGUACAUGGACUGGGUACUCCUUCACGAUGGUUCCCCCUUCACCAUCUGUGAGAGCAAGGAAGAAAAGAGUGAACCAUUCACAGCCACCAGCCCAGCAACCGCAAAGCCAGAGCCCACCGCAGACGCUGAGCCAGAGCCUGCUAGGAUACCAGAGCCAGAGCCUGAUCCACAGAUUUCCCCAGAGCCCAGAUGAACCAAGUCUGAACAGUGCUAUUCACACAAUCUUCCCCUCCAGAAGCUACAUCUUCUCCUCCAGAAGUUACAUUUUCUGAUCCCAUUGAUCCAGUUGGGUGGCAGAAUGAAAGCGAACAGUUCGUCUCUCCUGCCGAAUAUCUCCAUCUCUCCAACUGUGCCAAAGUGACUGUGUAGAUUCGGGUUCUUUUGAGAUUAACAAAACAUUGGUUUAACGUAAUCACAUACAGCUCAAUGCAUUUAUAGGCCUGCGAAUAUACAUGGAAAUCAUUUUAAAGGGAUAGUUCAGCCAAAAAUAUAUAUUUUAAUUAAUGUCAUUAAUUAAAUUAAAUUAAAAUAACUAUUAUUGUUCCAUAUCUGAAUGAUUUUCUUCCUUCCACAUAUCAUAAAAAGAGAUUUAGCAGGAUUUUCAAUCUGUUUUUUUUUUUUUUUUCCAUACAGUAAAUGUGAAAGGGCCUAAAAAAAAUUAGUGCCAUAAUAGUAGUUCAUAUGACUCUUGUGCUAUAUUAAAAUUUUCUGAAAUCAUACAAUAGCUUUGUAUGUGUACACAUUUGUUGUGUUGCAGGUGGUUCCCAUGUACAUGUAAAUGAUAACAUUUGGAAUCAUAGAUGGAAAACCUGGUAUGAAUUACAUAUUACAGUAACUGAAGCAAAUAGAAUUGAUCAGGCAACUUAUUUUGGUCUUUUCCUCACAUAAAGCUAUUAUAGGGUCCGUGUUAUUUUAGUAAUAGUGAAUAAAUAAUAUUCACUAUUAUGGAAUUUAUUAAUAUUUUGAAUUCGAUUUUAUUUUUUAGUUUUCAUUUUAGUUUUAGUUAUUUUAUAAUGUUCUUUUGUCAUUUUUCUUAGUGUUUUUUUUUCUAUUUAGCUUUUAUAUUUUAUGUCAAUUUUGGCUUUUUGUACUUGGUAACACUUUACAAUAAAGUUUUAGUUGUUAACAUUAGUUAACUACAUUAGUUAACAUGAACUAUAAAUAAAAAUACUUCUAAAGCAUUUAUUAAUCUUGGUUUAUGUUAAUUUCAACAUUUACUAAUCCAUUAUUAAAAUCAAAAGUUGUCCACUAAUAUUUAAUGGACCAGAGCUAACAUGAACUAACAAUGAACACUUGAAUUUCUAACAUUAAUAAGAUGAAUAAAUCCUUUAACUAAUGUAUUGCUCAUUGUUAGUUAAUGUUAUUUAAUGCAUUCGUUCAUUUUGCAGCUUUAUUUCAGAGGAAAAAAAAUGGUUCAGAAAAAGUUAUGGACAACUUUAAAAAAAAAAAAAAAAAAAGCUUGACACCCCAUGUUCACCAUUCACUGUCAUUGUAGCAGCUUGAACAUUCUGCUAAACUACUCUUGUUUUUGUUCCACAAAAGAAAGAAAGUCAUACAGGUUUGUACCGACAUGAGUUUGAGUAAACGACGACAAUAUUCUCAUAUUGGGGUGAACUAUCCCUUUAAAAACAAAUCAAUUAGUCUUUUUCAAAAUGUUUUAUAAAUUCACAAGUUAAGCUCUGUUACAGUCCCAUGUGUACCUAACAAGACCCAUUCGAUGACCUUUGACCUGAGAGGAGUAAUCGUAGCCCAAACAUGUCUCCUCCUGUGCCAACAAACCUGGUUCGAGUUACACUUUUAAUAGGCAGGUUUAAAGAGGGCAGAGGGAGGUGGAGUGUGGAACAGAUCAAAAGUUCUUUCCUAAAUGUCCUUUGUCGUGACUUUGCCGUGUUUGAUGUCUACGCUGUUGACUCUCUCGCUCUUUCUCUACCUCGCUUUCUCUCUCUCUCAUUUCAAAGAGAAGGAAGAGUCAUCUGCCUCCCGUGGUCUGCCAAUGCACAGACCACCAGGGGAAGUGAGGGAGCGAAAAAAGAAAGAGGAAGAGAAAGAUAACUGGAGAGAUUGGACAGUCGGGAGCUUUUGAAGAGAAGAAAGACCGAAUUCUGCCCCAAGAACAGCGAUAACGGACAUUGGGGCCCUCUGGGGGAAGGGACGGAGGGGUAUAUAUGAAAUAUGAAAGAAGAAAUGAGAGAUUUGAGCGUGAAAUGCUUAUUUCUUAAUAAAUGUUCUUUUCUUCUUUUUCUGUUUAAACUGGCGGGACAGUUUUAUGUUUGCAGAACAUGUGGACAGUGUGGACUGUUGUCCUUUCACCUAGAGCCAAGGCUCAUGAACUACAUGGUCGAGAGUGUUGGGAAAUCUGCAUCCUAUUUCAUGGUUGGCAAACAUCUGUUGACAGAAUACAUAAUUUAAGAAUCUGAGGCUUUUUCUGGCCAUAAUCCUUGCAUGGCAGAAUGGGAGAAUAUUUUUUUUUUUGACAAUAUUUUGCUGGUAUUUGCACCAGCAAGGCCCAUACUGAGUUCUAAACAGAGAUGAGAGAGCAUCGGAUGAAUAGAUCAAUAGAUGGAUGAAUAAGUGAAGCGAGUCAGUAUACAGCUAUUCACUGUCCCUGUGCCCUUUCUGUCCUCUCUGUGCUAUUUGGAUAAAAUCUCUUUUAUCUCCGCUGGUGCCAGCCUCUGAUGCAUAAACACUCCAGACUGACUCCUUUUGCUUUUGAUAGAGGGAGAGAAAAUGAAAGGAAGCAAAAACCGCAUUAGCGUUGCAGCACCAGUAAGAACAUCCCGUGUCCGGCCUGUCAUUCAUUUCAAUUUACACUUUUUCAUUUCUCUUAUACAGUUCAUUUCCUCCUUGAACUGUUCUGAAGUCAUCCAUGCUAAUGUGCUUAUAUAAGAACUUAUUGUGUCCUGUUGAUUUUUUUUGGUCAAUGUUUUUUUUUUUGGUCAAUGUUUUUUUUUUUUCAUCAAAGUGUGUGGGUUAUUUAUUUUUUUUACAAUUUUUUUUUUUUUUUUUUUUUACAUUUUUCUUUUUUUAAGUUACAAUACAUGUCAGUAAAACUUAUGGGUCCCAGGACAUCAUUUUUGUGGGCAUUUUCACUGACUCAUAUCACUACACUAUGAAAAAACAAAUCUUGUGUUGCAGUAGAAAAAAAAUCAAUAUAUCAUUUUUAUACAUAAUAGAUGUCAGUAUAAUCAUAUUUUUAGAGAAUACAUUAUUUGAAAUGUUUUUGAAAGAAGUCUUCUGAAAUAUUUAAUAUAUUUUAAAAUGUAAUCUAGAACUCGCUGAACUGCGUUCACUGCGUCAACUGCGUAGGAGACUGACAGGGAAGAGGAAAAAUUGUUGAAUAAAGUCAUUAUUUUUGUUUUGUUUUUCACACAAAAAGUAUUCUUGUCGCUUCAUAACAUUAAGGUUGAACCACUGUAGUCACGUUGACUAUUUUAACAGUGUUUUUACUACUUCUCUGGACCGAGAAUGUGAUAAUUUUGUUGCUUUCUAUAGGAGGUUGCUUUUCCUCUCGGAUUUCAUCAAAAAUAUCUUAGUUUGUGUUCUGAAGAUGAAUGAAGGUCUUACGGGUUUGUAACGACAUGAGGGUGAGUAAUUAAUGACAGAAAUGUAAUUUUUGGGUGAACUAACCCUUUAAUAUUUUGUGGAAACUGUGAUACAUUUUUUUUUCAGGAUUCUAUGAUUGGGAAAAAAACAGAAUUUAUUUGAAAUAUUAAUCUUUUUUAACAAUGUAAAAAAAAAAUGUUUCUCUCACUUUUGAUCAAUUUUAUGCAUCCUUACUCUAUAAAAAUAUAUAUAUAUUUUUUUUUAAAUCUUAUUAACCCCAAAUUUUUGAUAGGUAGUGAAUAUCUAAAAUAUAUGAUUAAAACAAGGAAAAAUACUUUGCCAAAAUAUAAGGCAUUAUAAAGGCCCUGCUGGGAAUCUCAGACAUUGUAAAGCUGUUUCAGUUUGUCAUCACAUAUAUUUAACCAGGCGUCUUUGUAAAAGGCAUUUGUUCAAACAGUUUUAGAUGUAUGAACAUGUCACCUGCCAUCAUGUCAAAACGUGUGUUUUUCAUUAUCAUUUCCUCUCCACACACUUGUGUCCUCAAACACAAGUAUGUGUGUAUUUUGUUAGAUGUGUUAUCUACAGCACUGGAAUCAGAUACUUUAUGAUACAACUUUGAAGAACUUUUCAUCUCUUUCGCACACACUCACACACCCCGUCUCUGUCUCACUCGGCAGGGUGGGCUUUAAUCUAUUUUCACCCCUGGCUUCUUAAGAAAGUAGAUCCAAUAAGUCAGCUUCCUGCUGCGAGAGUCACUCCUGACUAAACUUUGUGUGUGUGUGUAUCCUGUAUGGGGAAAAAUGGUUUUCUUAAACCUUUUCCAUCUCUCAUUUCGGCUUGAUUUAAAGGGAUAGUUCAGACAAAAAUUAAAAUUCUGUCAUCAUUUAUUCACCCUCAUAUGGAAGCCCGU